rnacentral:rRNA from 1 species
UUUUAUUUGAGAGUUUGAUCCUGGCUCAGGAUGAACGCUGGCGGCGUGCCUAACACAUGCAAGUUGAGCGAUUUACUUCGGUAAAGAGCGGCGGACGGGUGAGUAACGCGUGGGUAACCUACCCUGUACACACGGAUAACAUACCGAAAGGUAUGCUAAUACGGGAUAAUAUAUUUGAGAGGCAUCUCUUGAAUAUCAAAGGUGAGCCAGUACAGGAUGGACCCGCGUCUGAUUAGCUAGUUGGUAAGGUAACGGCUUACCAAGGCGACGAUCAGUAGCCGACCUGAGAGGGUGAUCGGCCACAUUGGAACUGAGACACGGUCCAAACUCCUACGGGAGGCAGCAGUGGGGAAUAUUGCACAAUGGGCGAAAGCCUGAUGCAGCAACGCCGCGUGAGUGAUGAAGGCCUUCGGGUCGUAAAACUCUGUCCUCAAGGAAGAUAAUGACGGUACUUGAGGAGGAAGCCCCGGCUAACUACGUGCCAGCA